rfam:Penicillium expansum strain MD-8 contig167, whole genome shotgun sequence.
UGAGGCCUCCGACGUGACACAACAUCCUGCAGCGGUGUUGUGUGACCUGCAGUGUCCGUCGCUGGCCUCG